rnacentral:rRNA from 1 species
CGCUGGCGGCGUGCCUAAUACAUGCAAGUCGAACGGUCUUUCUAUGGAAGCUUGCUUCCACUGAAAGAUAGUGGCGAACGGGUGAGUAACACGUGGGUAACCUGCCCAUAAGAGGGGGAUAACAUCCGGAAACGGGUGCUAAUACCGCAUAGUUUUCUUGAUCGCAUGAUCGGGAAAGGAAAGACGGCCUUUGUGCUGUCGCUUAUGGAUGGACCCGCGGCGUAUUAGUUAGUUGGUGAGGUAACGGCUCACCAAGACGAUGAUACGUAGCCGACCUGAGAGGGUGAUCGGCCACAUUGGGACUGAGACACGGCCCAAACUCCUACGGGAGGCAGCAGUAGGGAAUCUUCCGCAAUGGACGAAAGUCUGACGGAGCAACGCCGCGUGAGUGAAGAAAGGUUUUCGGAUCGUAAAACUCUGUUGUCAGAGAAGAACAAGUUGGAGAGUAACUGCUCCAGCCUUGACGGUAUCUGACCAGAAAGCCACGGCUAACUACGUGCCAGCCGCUGC